rnacentral:snRNA from 1 species
UGUCCUCCAUCAGAGGUCUAUAUUGAGCAGAUUCUUUUUGGUGUUGGGUGGUGGAACCGGAGCUUGCUCCAUCCACUCCAUGCAUUGACCUGGUAUUGCAGUGCUUCCAGGACCGGUGC